rnacentral:misc_RNA from 1 species
GAUGAAGAACGUAGCGAAAUGCGAUAAGUAAUGUGAAUUGCAGAAUUCAGUGAAUCAUCGAAUCUUUGAACGCACAUUGCGCCCGGUAGUAAUCUGCCGGGCAUGCCUGUCCGAGCGUCAUUUCAACCCUCGAACCACUAUUCGCGUAGCUGGAUCGGUGUUGGGGCACUACGGUGGAAUACCCGUAGGCCCCGAAAUGAAGUGGCGGUCCCGCCGCGGCGCCCCCAUGCGUAGUAACAUCUCGUCUCGCAUCGGGUCCCGGCGGAGGCCUGCCGUCAAGCCUAUUUUCUAAUUACAGAUGGUUUGACCUGGGAUCAGGUAGGGUUACCCGCUGAACUUAAGCAUAUCAAUAAGCGGAGGA